rnacentral:rRNA from 1 species
UUGAACGCUGGCGGCAGGCCUAACACAUGCAAGUCGAACGGUAACAGGAAGCAGCUUGCUGCUUUGCUGACGAGUGGCGGACGGGUGAGUAAUGUCUGGGAAACUGCCUGAUGGAGGGGGAUAACUACUGGAAACGGUAGCUAAUACCGCAUAACGUCGCAAGACCAAAGAGGGGGACCUUCGGGCCUCUUGCCAUCGGAUGUGCCCAGAUGGGAUUAGCUUGUUGGUGGGGUAACGGCUCACCAAGGCGACGAUCCCUAGCUGGUCUGAGAGGAUGACCAGCCACACUGGAACUGAGACACGGUCCAGACUCCUACGGGAGGCAGCAGUGGGGAAUAUUGCACAAUGGGCGCAAGCCUGAUGCAGCCAUGCCGCGUGUAUGAAGAAGGCCUUCGGGUUGUAAAGUACUUUCAGCGGGGAGGAAGGGAGUAAAGUUAAUACCUUUACUCAUUGACGUUACCCGCAGAAGAAGCACCGGCUAACUCCGUGCCAGCAGCCGCGGUAAUACGGAGGGUGCAAGCGUUAAUCGGAAUUACUGGGCGUAAAGCGCACGCAGGCGGUUUGUUAAGUCAGAUGUGAAAUCCCCGGGCUCAACCUGGGAACUGCAUCUGAUACUGGCAAGCUUGAGUCUCGUAGAGGGGGGUAGAAUUCCAGGUGUAGCGGUGAAAUGCGUAGAGAUCUGGAGGAAUACCGGUGGCGAAGGCGGCCCCCUGGACGAAGACUGACGCUCAGGUGCGAAAGCGUGGGGAGCAAACAGGAUUAGAUACCCUGGUAGUCCACGCCGUAAACGAUGUCGACUUGGAGGUUGUGCCCUUGAGGCGUGGCUUCCGGAGCUAACGCGUUAAGUCGACCGCCUGGGGAGUACGGCCGCAAGGUUAAAACUCAAAUGAAUUGACGGGGGCCCGCACAAGCGGUGGAGCAUGUGGUUUAAUUCGAUGCAACGCGAAGAACCUUACCUGGUCUUGACAUCCACAGAACUUUCCAGAGAUGGAUUGGUGCCUUCGGGAACUGUGAGACAGGUGCUGCAUGGCUGUCGUCAGCUCGUGUUGUGAAAUGUUGGGUUAAGUCCCGCAACGAGCGCAACCCUUAUGGUCAGUUACUACGCAAGAGGACUCUGGCCAGACUGCCGUUGACAAAACGGAGGAAGGUGGGGAUGACGUCAAAUCAUCAUGCCCCUUAUGACCAGGGCUACACACGUGCUACAAUGGCGCAUACAAAGAGAAGCGACCUCGCGAGAGCAAGCGGACCUCAUAAAGUGCGUCGUAGUCCGGAUUGGAGUCUGCAACUCGACUCCAUGAAGUCGGAAUCGCUAGUAAUCGUGGAUCAGAAUGCCACGGUGAAUACGUUCCCGGGCCUUGUACACACCGCCCGUCACACCAUGGGAGUGGGUUGCAAAAGAAGUAGGUAGCUUAACCUUCGGGAGGGCGCUUACCACUUUGUGAUUCAUGACUGGGGUG